UACGUAGGGUGCGAGCGUUGUCCGGAAUUAUUGGGCGUAAAGGGCUCGUAGGCGGUUUGUCGCGUCGGGAGUGAAAUCCACUGGCUUAACUGGUGGCUUGCUUUCGAUACGGGCAGACUGGAGGUAUGCAGGGGAGAACGGAAUUCCUGGUGUAGCGGUGAAAUGCGCAGAUAUCAGGAGGAACACCGGUGGCGAAGGCGGGUCUCUGGGCCGAUACUGACGCUGAGGAGCGAAAGCAUGGGGAGCGAACAGG
rnacentral:rRNA from 1 species